rnacentral:rRNA from 1 species
UACGUAGGGAGCAAGCGUUAUCCGGAUUUAUUGGGUGUAAAGGGUGCGUAGACGGAGAAGCAAGUUAGUUGUGAAAUCCCUCGGCUUAACUGAGGAACUGCAACUAAAACUACUUCCCUUGAGUACUGGAGAGGAAAGUGGAAUUCCUAGUGUAGCGGUGAAAUGCGUAGAUAUUAGGAGGAACACCAGUGGCGAAGGCGACUUUCUAGACAGUAACUGACGUUGAGGCACGAAAGUGUGGGGAGCAAACAUG